GGCAUGAAGCGGGCACAUCAAGGACUGGAGCCUAGCCUGGGGGUGGGGGCUGGCUCUCUCCUGAAUAUCGUCAUGAUACAGAAUAAUUACAGUAGUUCCCAAUUAUUGCUCACCUACUAAAUGUCUCUUUUUUUUUAAAUGUCUCUGCCAGGCACAGUGUAAGCAAGGUGCAUGAAUCAUCUCAAUUAAUCUUUUCAACAAUCCUACGAGGUGUGUGCUGUGAUGAUGCUCAUUAUAGGAGAGGAAAAAUCACAAGCCCAAGGCCACACAGUUGGUACAGGGUAAAGCAGGAUUGGAACCCAAGCAGUCUGACUUCAGAUGCCUCCGCCUACCGUCUGUCCCUCUGGCUCCCUGUCCAGGAAGACUGGCUGUGCACCCCUCCUGGCAGACCUGGUAGAAGAUGUGGAAGUUCCUCUCACUGGAGGUCUGGCAGGCCACUCGAGUUUUCUCUAGCAGGAAGGUGGCAGAUCCCAGAAGAAACGGGACAGAGGUGCUGUGCAGAGAACACCAAGCUCACCAAAAGCUUCCAUGACAGGGUUGGAGUUCAGGAUCCGCUGUUCGAUCCU